rnacentral:tRNA from 1 species
GCGGGAGUAGCUCAGUGGUAGAGCAUCAGCUUCCCAAGCUGAGGGUCGCGGGUUCGAUCCCCGUUUCCCGCUCAA